UCCGUGUCUAUUGUACCCUGUUGCUUCGGCGGGCCCGCCGCUUGUCGGCCGCCGGGGGGGCGCCUCUGCCCCCCGGGCCCGUGCCCGCCGGAGACCCCAACACGAACACUGUCUGAAAGCGUGCAGUCUGAGUUGAUUGAAUGCAAUCAGUUAAAACUUUCAACAAUGGAUCUCUUGGUUCCGGCAUCGAUGAAGAACGCAGCGAAAUGCGAUAACUAAUGUGAAUUGCAGAAUUCAGUGAAUCAUCGAGUCUUUGAACGCACAUUGCGCCCCCUGGUAUUCCGGGGGGCAUGCCUGUCCGAGCGUCAUUGCUGCCCUCAAGCCCGGCUUGUGUGUUGGGUCGCCGUCCCCCUCUCCGGGGGGACGGGCCCGAAAGGCAGCGGCGGCACCGCGUCCGAUCCUCGAGCGUAUGGGGCUUUGUCACAUGCUCUGUAGGAUUGGCCGGCGCCUGCCGACGUUUUCCAACCAUUCUUUCCAGGUUGACCUCGGAUCAGGUAGGGAUACCCGCUGAACUUAAGCAUAUCAUA
rnacentral:rRNA from 1 species